AAGGUCCUUUUCCCAUAGCUGUCAUUUGGACUGCCUGUGUCUUCGGCAGAGACCUGGAAACUUCUAGAUCGCUCGACACUACGGCCAAAAAAAGGGCUAGCUGCCUACCGGCACGUCUUCGAGAGAGUUUGAGAUGGGGACAAAAAAUAGAAUAAAAAUUGUUCGCGUCUUCCUCGCGUUCGCGCCGGAGGGGCGCCGUCGCCUUGUCCCAUUGCUUCGCCACCGCAGCUGCCGUUCGUCGUCGCCAUCACCCUGCCGGUAGUCGUCGUUGCCGUCCCCUCCUCUCGCCCGCUCAUCGACGACUUCUUCCCCUUCCUCUCCUCGCCGUCAUCCUCGCCCGCGCCAGUGGGAGCUAUCGCCGGAGGUGGUGCUUGUGGGCGUCGACGCCCAACCAGCAGGGCACCCGAGGAGAAGCGCAAGACGACCGCGCCGUCAGCGCUGAACGAGGCUAAGCGGUAGUGCCAUGAGGUGUGCUCGUCGUGGAGGUCAUCGCCGCUCGCGGAGCACGGCCACCCGGUGAAGAAGAAGCACAGGUGAGAAGAGAUGAUGGUUGUUGUAGACCAUACGCCUCUACGAGAUCGCCGCACGCGACCCAUUCCUUUCCUCUGGAGCAAAUACGUCCACAUCGUCGUUCCCCAUCUGGAUGCUGCUGGCUUCUCCCUCGUCCGUCGAUUGGAAGGAAGGUAAGACUACAACAGAAGAACUUGAAGAGCAUUCACUGAUCUCUUAUUUGAAGACCAGAAUGCAAGGUACCAAAAGAAAGAAAAAAUUGAAUUGCCUUCACUAGGCUCCUCUUGAGAAGAUACAAGGUAAAAGUAUUUUUCUACCUUGCUUUGCACAAGCGUAUUGCGUAUAUAUAGUAAUAUAAAGCCCUCCCUCCUAAAAACUUCAGAAUCUUAACAUGUUACAGUUAGUUCUCAGAAGAUUUCAUGUGCAUUGUAAUUCUAAAACUUUAGCCAGUUUACACCUGUUAUUUAGUCUACUCCUUGAAAAAAGUUUUUCCCUUUGAUCUAAACAUGAAUGCUUCCUUUUACUCCAACAUCACAGCAAAAAAUCAAAAGCAUUGCACUUCUUACCACUGAUACCCCUAUGUCACUACUACCAUACAGGUUAGUGCACGAUCCUUACCUUUAUGUUCUACAUGUCUUUGGGUUUCUCUUUUUUUUCAAGUGCGUUCUAUUAUUGUUUAUAUGUCCACCUUCACACUGAUUAGCUGUUCAUGCAUAGUUAUUAUCUGUUAUGUACAUUUUUAUACCUUUCCAAAUUAGCUUAUUAUCUUUUAAAAAUUGUAUUUUCUUGGCUACUUUACAUUGGAAUGACCGAUGGCAACAUCUUCAAACAAACAUAGCUAACUUAGAGGAAAGAAAACAUAAUCUUUAAACUGCUCAUAAGAGAGAAUGUCAAUUUUCAGAAAAAAAAAGAAAAAACAAUAUUGAUGCUUUAGAAAAUCUUAAACUGAUGCACGUUAAUAUUAUCAUAUCAAUGCCAACAACAUAUGUUUAAGCUGGUUUCAUCCUUCCUAGCAACUCUACUAGCUUCCUCUCGCUCUUCACUGCUAUUUUUUUAAAUUUCACUGCUAUUUUUUAAAUUGGAAGGAAAAUAAGAGUACAACAGAAGAACUUGAAGCGCAUUCACUGGUCUCUUAUUUAAAGACCAUAAAACAAAGUUCCAAAAAACAAAAAGAAACAUUGAGUUGCCUUCACCAGGCUCCUCUUGAGAAAAUACAAGGUAAACAUAUUUGGCAAUUGUAAUAUAUGUUGUUAUUUUGCUCUUUAGUUGCUUCAAAUUGUUUAUGGGUACCACCAGGCAACUCAGAAGAGGCAACAUUCUUUAGAAAGGCAUAUUAUCUAUACUACUUAUUAAGAAGGUAAGAGUAGUCGGUCGUUAUGCCCUCCCCGUUCCGCGCGCAGAAAAAAAUCAAACCGUGGCUACUCAGGGAUCAAACCUUGGAUCUAUUGAGCAGAAUGCCUAGCCUUCCACCCCUUAGCCAACGUGACUCAUGUUGAAUCGUGUAUAACUUCAACUAAGACGUCUUUUGUGUUUAACCCACCAUCUACUCUGUAUGCUCACUGAGUCUAGAAAAACGUUUAUAGCUUGGUCCCUGAUCUUUCUGGAAUUUGGGACGCAGUCCAGGAAAUAAAAAAAAUAGGGAAAAGGAGUUUAGAAAUUGAUUUUUAGUUUAAAAAUAAUUGCAGAAACCCAUUUAAUUCAUGGAAAUUUCAUAUUAAAUCCAAAUGAGUUUAUUCCAAUUUCUAUAAUUCUAUAAUAUUAUUUUUUAUCACAUAAUACCUCUGUUUUGUCAUGAAAACAACAAUAAAAUUGAUUUCCUAAUUAAUCCUAUAUCAAAUACAUAGAAACUUUGGAAAUUCGUAACUUCCCCAUUUUAAUUCCAAAUUGAACUGUUCCAGUUGUGUUAGUCUCGUAUGAAUAUUUACUACGCAGUAACAACAUUGAUUAUACCAUGUUUCAUACUUUUAUAAUUAGAUAUUUAUUUAUCCUAUGUUAAUUGAGUUAAUCUAUGUCUAUUGGAUUAAUUUAUUUAAUAUAUUAAUAUAGUACUCUAACUUUAUGGUUAUACGAUGUUUGACCAUUAGUCUUGCAAACACACACACUUACCUUUUUGUUUAAGCAAAAGCGUAUGGUGGUACGUGUCCGAUGACUAACGAUGUACGAGGGAAUUUCUUCCGGUAUGUGUGAAACGUGCUCUCCAAUAAUGAGACCAUGCAAAUCGUGACAUAUAUCGAAGUCUGCAUGAUACUGAUGGUUGCAAUGUAGUGGUGAAACAGAUAGAUUAUAAAUAACAAAAUUUAUGUAUGGUCAGAAUCACAAAUUGAUUAUCUAUACUACUUAUCCCUACUACUAAUUAAGCAUGGAGAGUGGGCGCCUGACGCGUCCAUGCCCCCGCCUCCUAAUCUCUAUCGUCCUGGUUCCACCAACCUCACAGGCCGCCCACACCAAGCAGGAUAAUUCCCUCCACCGCCAUCAGCGCUCGCCCGCGCAGAUCCCGCUCUCAGCGCUCGCCCGCCAUCCGCGCUCCAUGCUUAGGGUCCGCCAUCAGCGCUCGCUUGGCUGCUCGACGCAUUCGCCAGCGCCACCUUCAACCAGAUCGACUCCGCCUACCGCGAGGUCGGAGGGGACCCUUUUGUGGCCACCAGUAUCCUGUCUUCCACGCAGGACAUGCACCUGCCGCAGCCCCCCGCCGCCACUGGAUCUCUUGCCGCACAGUGGAUCUGGUGGAAGAAAGGCUGGUCGGAGGCCCAAGCGGGUUGCGGUGGCCGCUACGGGCAUGGUCGCGGACGUGAUUGGCAAGGAGUACACAUGAUCCGCGGCUAAUUCUAUAGUAAGCAUGCCAAAUGCUUGGAAGGGUCGGGACGGGGAGAGCGAUGGCGACGGGUCUGGUGGCCGCAAGGACAGUGUUGAAGAGGCAGAGCAGUUCCUGUGCUCCAUGCUCGGGGAUAAUUCCGAGCUUGGCAUGGGUGUUGUCAGAGACGUGCCAGGUGAGCCUGUGAGGCAUUUUUUCACUUGCUGGUCUAUAGUUGUCCGUUCAGAAUUCUUCAUUUUGACCAAUCGGUGCCAUGCCACCAUUUUCAUGACUCAACUGAAUUCUGGAAUCUAGACCUUUAAUUUGUAAACCCUAUGCCCUUAGAUGCAGCGAAUGUUCAAAAGAUAUAUAUACAGAUGUUCUAUUAGGAGCAACAUAUUACAAGAACAUGAAAAUGGAUCCUUUAGAUUAAAUAUUCAGUGCUUUUUUAGCAAAGAUCUUAUGAAAAGAAUGAACUUCUGGCUUAUUGUUGCCUACUAUUUGCUCAUGCUCUAGCCUCCAGCUAAUUUCAGUGCCCGCCACAGAAGAUGAAGCAUGGGCUAUUCAAGCUCUAGAGUCAAGGUGGAAGAGAUUUUGAUAUAUCCGUAGAAAUGAAGUUCUACUAAUUUCGCUUACAUACAUAGGCAUAUGACUGGUGCUUGUUUUCUACUUGAACUUAGGUAGCAGUCGUGGUUCGUUCUCGAUAAUACUGCUUGCUUUUUUUACACAGCUGGCGUUAAUGACACAGGUUGUAUGGUCCUUGAUGAACAAACAAUACCUUGGGUCAUAGAUUGUCUGCAUGCAUGCUAGAUGAGAAAAAAAUAGCCAGCCGGGGGUGUUUGGAUUCACAGCAGAUGGUUGAGAAGCGCAAUGCGCAAAAACUGACAUAAAGGUAACCACUUUGUUAGCGGGUGAUUUGUUGCAAAACUCUAGGAACUCCUCAGUUGGCCUAAAACAACGUGUUUCUGUACUGGUUGAUCUGUUUUUGCAGAGUAGCUAAGCAGUUUCGCAACUAAUCAUUUGGCUUUGGACAACCGUGUUGAAACAAGGAUCGGUCCUGCAUCUAUACAUGUCAUUAGCCACACAGCUCAGGAAAACCUUAGUCCCCCAUUUGGUUCUCCUAAACAUACAUAUUUUUUCUUAGAAAUAUCUUAGAAUUAUAUUUUUGGGUGUAUCAGCAUGAGCAUGAGCAUGAGGUGUAAAAUCAUUGCAGAUCCGUAAAAAGCUAGAAUGAUGCUUGGAUCAAACUUAUCCUUGAUCAUGAUUUGUGGUGCUAAGGGAACAAUUAUAGAUUGAUUUGAGGUUUGCGGGUGUAAUCAUGUGUAUAAUAGCCUUUUAUAUUUUUCCUCUGUCCGUGUGGUGUAGUACCUGAAAAGCAAAAUGAUGCCUACAUUUGUUGUGCUUAUUGCUGUUAAAUAUUUUUCUAAUUCUAACAGGUCAGUGCCUUGCUUCCUAGUUGUAGCUAGAAUGCAUGGCCUUAUACUUUUAUCUGCUUUGCUUGGCCUCUACAUCAGACAGAGCCUUGAGGGCAUUCAUUCAUGUGGCCAAGUGUUGGUUUGUAAUCUCCCUUGCUGGUGAAUUCCUAGAGACAAUUUGGGGAUUUGUUGUGAUGAGAAGGUUUUAUUGGGCUUUUGGGCCCGGGGAGUCACGUGUUGUGAUCUCAUCACUCCUCAAGUGCCAUCUUGGCGUUCUGCACUUGAAUGGUGAUGGUUCGUGAGAUGUGAUUAGGAGUGGUAAUGGAUUAUGUCUUUUCACAAUUUGUUUGAACCAUUUAAUUAAUUUUAGUUCAAAAGUGAAUAAAAAUAAAACAUGAUUCUGAUCCGAUCUGAUCCUUAAUUUUAUAGUGUAAAAUUUAUAGCUCGUUACCACCCUAUAUGUGAUUGAGAAUUUAAGAUUAGUGGAUUUGACUUCUGACCGGUUGUUGUCUGCUAAUGUCCCGUUUACUGGAAUCCUAAGAGAGGACUGAAGAACAAACCUAACAACAUGGUACAUACAAUAUUUGUAGCCUAGACGUCGCUCUCCAUGCUCCCCACCUCGUGGCAACGCACGGGCACAUACCUAUUUAUAUAUAAGUUAUCAUGGUAUUAUAUGUCUCCGUUGCAACGCACGGGCACCCACCUAGUUACUAUAUAUAGAGCUAGGAGUAGAUCUUCAUCCGAACCCCUCCAACGACGACUAGGUCGGCGUUUUCUCUCCCUGCUGUUUCAGGUUUGUUACAUUUCAACCUGUGGGCUUUCUUUCAGACAAUUGCAUUUCAUCUAGCAUUCACACGGGAAGCUCUGAAAUCUGCCAGCUUAAAAACUAGAUGUACCAAACAUGCUAUCUGAGCACCGCGCUGAUACAACCUUUGAUCAGUAUUCAGUACUACUUGCUCUUCCAUAUUAAUACUACUGGUACUACUAUUUCAUUGCACGUUUACAUGACAUGGAACAGAGACUGAAUUUAGUCGAGUGGGUUCACCUGCAGUUCUGGUAUGCAAACUACACGAAUGAUGCCUACAACAAGAGUGGGAACGGAUCCUUGAGGCUGCAGCUGAUAAACCAGAGAGCAGAGACUUCACCUUUGUGCUCUUCUCUAGAGGCUUCUUUGCUGUUAGACUAGAGAUGGCAAUGGGUACCCGAAACCCGAAUACCCGACGAGUUUUACCCGAUAUGAAGGCAGGUACGAGAUGAUUUCUCUACCCGCGGGUAUGUUAAUGGGUAAAAACCUCUACCCGUUGGGUAGACGGGUACAGGUAUGAAUUGGUACUACCCAUACCCGUCUACCCGUGGGUAAAAUAUACCCGCAUCAAUAGCACUAUAAACAUCUAAUAUAGUCCAACUUAGCUAGAAUAAAACCCUUCUCUAGUUAUUAUUUGUCUAGAUACCAAGUUAUGUAAUCAUAUGAUUUGUUAUAUGUGAAAUUGAAGUUGUUUUUAUAUGUUUAUUUAAUAUUUUGAGUGAUUGGUAUAUUGAAAUUUAAUUCUUUCCUAGUGGGUACGGGUUACCCGACGGGUAAAAAUACCCGCGCGGGUACGGGUAUGGGUAAGAUUUUAUACCCGCGAGUAUAUAUGGGUAACCCGACGGGUAGAAUUUUUUUUGAUGGGUACGGGUAUGGAAUGGUACUACCCGACGGGUAUGUACCCGUUGCCAUCCCUGUGUUAGACUAACCAAUUCAUCUCAUGUCCCAAGUUCAAUUUUAUGUAAUGAGGAUUGCAUGAUAUUUUCUAGCAAUUUAUCUUUAAUAUGUACUAACAAUUAAGGGCGGUGUGUAGACCGCCCCCGCCCCCAAAAAGCACACGCCCGCUCGGAAACCCCGCAAACCGCCCGCCAACCCCGGCAACCCGACCUCCGUAUUCAUCGCUGCCGCAAACCGCCCCCAACCCCGCCCGCCAGACCUCCGUAUUCAUCGCUGUCGCGCCGCAAACCGCCCACCAGACCUCCGGAAUCGUAUCCACGGCGCAAACACGCCAUGGUUUUGGAUGGGGGCGACUCAAUCCGUUCGCCGCGGCUACCAACAAUCCUCGCAGCCCGACCUGGAGGAGGCCCUUGAAGCCUCGCGCUACGCGUCUCACCCCUACUCCUCGCACCCCAAGGAAGUAAGCGCCCCCCCUCCCCCUCCGACCUGUCGUGCCGUCUACUACGUGUGUACUGCUAGCCGCGCACGCUUGAGCCGUUGGUCUGUCCCAGCGUCCCUUUUGGGCGAAUGCUAGGUUGUAAUUGAGGGUUACAUCUGUUGUACUCGAGGUUUACAACAGUUAUCCAGGGAGAUUCGUGUCAUUGUUUCCCCCAGUGGAAUGGGGUGGUGAAGAAUCGAUGAAUGAAGGUGGAGGAAAAUAUGUCGUAGCCACACAUGCUGUCAACUUGGCAAGGCUCCUACGGUUCUUUCUAGAAAAUCUGACGCCUGAGCUGAUAAAGAAGGGAGCACAACCGCCUCACUGGGUAACACACAUGGGCCUGCCCUACUCUUUGCAGCAAGGAGACGGAGACCUGCGUCCGGCUCUGGCAUAACUGCAAGCUUACCUAUCAAGAACAUGGGUGUCGCUGAUCCCUGAACUGUGCGCCUGAUUGUUCAGGCUGCCAACAAUGGUAACAACUUUUGACUAGCAAGUCUUUAAUUAGCCGGAGUUAAGAUAAUUUACUUUCACCGAAGGAAAUUCUGGUGAUUUUUUGUGUGCAGUCUGAUGGAGUCUGUUUCAGACGUUGAGUGUUCAGUUAGAGUAAUUUUAUAGCUUUCUAGACUAGAUAUUCCAAUUUAGUUAGAUGGAGCUUUAUAGAUAUGCCAAUUCAGAGAUGGAUCUUCAUUUACAAAAAAAGAGUUUGUUGACUGGAGGGAAGUAUGUUCCAGUGCAUCUUUGCUUCGAACAUGUUUCAAGUAUCUUAUUUGUUCACAAUUAUGACAUUUUCAUCCUACUAAUACCAUGUAUGUUUUAGGAAGUAUCUCCUACUCUGCCUAGAAUUCUAAUUAGUCAUUAGUACAAUUUCAAUUUUGUAGAUAGAAUAAAUCUCAAAUAAACUUGAGGAUGAUAAGGGUCAAAAUGAGAUAUGUUGUUCUGAAACUGAAGCAAUAAAGGGUACAUAGCUUCCAACUCUAUGGAUUCUUGUUAGCAAUGGAAGAGUUUGAUUUGACUUUAACUAUUUCAGUGGUUCUCGGUCAAACGCCAGCAGGCACAGGUUAUUGCAGAUAGUCUUUACUAUACUAAUUUCAAGCUUCAUUGCAGAGCCUGUCCCCCACCGCCGUUGGAUCCAAGAUCCCACCCUCGUCCUUCCUCUCCUUCUCCGAUCCGCUCAUGAACUGCCUCAGCCGAGGCACAUAAUGCAAAGGGGCUUUCUAUAAGACCAAUAUUAUUUGGUAUACGAAUUCAGGCAAAUCACAACGGUGCAUCUAUGUUUCGUUUCUCCAAACGAUGACUUACUAUGUCUAGAGGCUACGAUUGUGCAUGGCAGAUGUGUCGACCUUGUGGACAAGCAACAUGGAUGAGAGGUAUGCACAAGCAGCAAUGACAUGGGUAUGCAGAGAGCCAUGGAGGCAACGGCCACACGAGGUGUGUUGUGUGCUACAACUGCAUCAAUUUGCUUCCUACUUGUGUAACUUGGUGAAAAUUGUAAUUCCACGAUCUAACCCCAACGAUCGGUGUUGGAAAGAAAUAUUGCGGAGGACGCGAUCAAUAUUACAUAAACUGAAGGAACAAAUCAGUGACGGUACUCCAGUUAUUCGAGCUGGUGCUGGAACAGGCAUAUCUACAAAGUUCGAAGAAGUUGGUGGUGGGGUUGAUCUUAUAGUGCUGUAGCUGUACAACUCUGGACGGUUUCAAAUGGCUGGAAGGGGCUCACUAGCUGGGCUCUUGCCCUUUGGUGAUGCAAAUGAUAUUGUACUUCAGAUGGCCAACGAAGUGUUGCCUGUGGUUAAAGGAGUUCCUGUUCUUGCUGGGGUAUGUGCUAUAGAUCCAUUUCGUCGAAUGGAAUACUUUCUGAGACAACUAGAAACCAUUGGAUUUUGCGGUGUGCAAAACUUCCCAACCGUAGGUCUGUUUGAUGGGAAUUUUAGACAUAAUUUGGAGGAAACUGGAAUGAGCAUGGAAGUGGAGAUGAUUUCAAUGGCUCAUCGCAUGGGUUUCCUUACUACUCCAUAUGCUUUCAAUCCGGAUGAAGUUGCUGCCAUGGCCAAGGCAGGAUCUCAUAUCGUAGUUGCACAUAUGGGUCUGACAACUGCAGGGUCUUUCGGGGCAAUGACAGCUACCACUUUAGAUGAUAGUGUUUUACGUGUUCAGGCCAUUGCAGAUGCGGCAUUUGGGGUUAAUCCUGAUAUAAUUGUUUUAUGUCAUGAAGGCCCCAUAUCUGGACCCCUAGAAGCUGAAUUCAUAUUGAAGAAUACUGAAAGGGUUCAUGGAUUUUACGGUGCAUCAAGCAUGGAAAGAUUACCAGUAGAGCAAACUAUCACGAACACCGUGAGAGAGUAGAAAAGAAUUUCCUUAAAAUGAGAACCAUCGUUUACAUGUGUGAUUUAAGCCUGUUGUUCUUCCGUUACACUUCGAAGAUUCUUUCAUCUCUGCCUCUUUAUUUGUCUCUUACCUAUAUAUCUAUUCACUAACACUUGGACAGGUAACUUGGUGAAAAUUGUAAUUCCACGAUCUAACCCCAACGAUGCUCAUGUUGCCGGUGUUGGAAAGUUCCUCAUGUUUCCUAGAGAGUUGCAACUCUCAGGGGAGUCAGUCAAGCUAAUGAAGCUUGGGGAAGCAGUUGCAAAGGGAACUAUUAAUAACGAGACACUUGGUUACUUCACCUGAAGGGUCUAUCUUUUCCUAACAUGCUUGGGAAUUGAUAAGGAUCGGUUGCACUCCAGACAACAUUUACCUAAUGAAAUGGCUCAUUAUAUUGUUGAUUGUUGGGUGCUGAGAUAGAUUACUCCUAUGGGUGGAUAGAGUGCGUGGGUAUUACUGAUAGAUCUGCAUAUGAUUUGAUAACUCACAGUG